GGAAUAUUGUGCUAAGUGUGUCAGAUUGAUUGCCUUCGUAAUUGAUGCUCACGUGUUCAGUAAACCACUUACGCACCAUAAAUCGGACUUGUUUUGCAGCCAGACUCUGCUGAGGCUCGUAAUGAUCGACAAGCUGCCUUGCAUCAUAUUCAGAGGAGAAAACAGUUACAGACAUCAGGUUUGAGCAUGAACCAACACCGUUUUUCUGUAGUGGACCAAACUGAGAGCACUUGAAGGUUUGAAAACGUAGGGUUAAUCUCAUUACCGAUGAUGCUUUGUUCCGAUAAAAUCCUGAGGCUAAGGAAUAUCUUGUCACAUUUGACUUCGAGUCAAGGUUUCAAAAUGCUGGUUCAGCUAUAGAAAGAGGUGUAGGUGUGCAUAUCAGUGAGGAGAGAAAAUAGCCAGAAGGGUUGACAAUGAUAAAACAUGAUGCCUGGGCACUGAAAUGUCUACUUGUAAUAUAGAUGAUCCUCUAUUGCCUCUAACAUAGAGUUACUUCAUACUUAUGUUUGUUUGAUUAUUCUGAGUAGUAAUAUGUAUGUAUGUAUAUAUAUCUACACGUUCUGGUGUGCAAAUCAAGUGAAUGACGUUUUUUACGUUCAAAAAGUGCAUCUGAUUUGUUUUUUUACCUUAGAGGUGAACGAUCAAAGGUGUAAAAUAUACUUUUUAAAUGGAGCAGUCUGAAUGCUUGUUGGCGUAGAGUUAAGUGAAGCAUCAACAUAAAAUAAGACUGAUAGCUCC
rnacentral:lncRNA from 1 species